rnacentral:lncRNA from 1 species
CUUGAUUUUACGUUUCCGCCUAUAAAAACUACAUAUACAUUUUUUUUACUCCAGUCACCAAAUUUUACUCACGGUAACCACAUUUUAUCACGGUAACAAUCAUCAGAGAAGCAGUGGGAUGAUCAUAACCUUGAUCUAAGUCUAGUUGAAUCAAACUCGGAAGAGUUUGGAACCAAAUCUGAGGUAAGUUAAGUUGUUCAUGUUUUUAUAAAUUUAAUGUGUGAAAAAAAGAUAAAUAGUGAUUAUGGUCUAAACUGAUACAUUUUAAAGACUGCGAGCAUGAGAAAUGGAUUUAGAGACGAGGAGAGACUAUUAGGGAGCCAUCUCUCCCUAGCGAUGACGACAACAGCGACUGUCGGAUCAGAGAAGCCAUUGGACGGUGGAGGAAAGCGAGUGGGAAUGGCGGCAUCAUCAGGAUUCUCUCCUCGCUUUCCUCCUUGGAACCACCACACUCCUCGCACCUUCCACUUCUUUCGUCCCUGAUUCACCAUCAUCAUCACAGUCACUCAUACAACAAAUGUUUUGGAGAAACUUUCCAGGAGCUAUUUUUCGGCUGUGUGGUGUGUAUGUAUUACAUAUAUGUUCUUGUGUCCAUGUAAGACUUUUCUUUCUGUAAUUUAAUCAUACAACAAAUGUUCGUGGCCCACAUCCUACAUGGUAUCCCCUGUACAUAUUGGAGACUUCUGUUUCAUCAUUUACCAUCUCAUCACAUGCGCUUAGUAACUUAGUUAGGUUUCGAGUCCGGAUCUAGAGAAUACCAUGCACACAACCCAACCGCAAUUUCAGAAAAUAUUAUACCUAAAUGGGUUUUAACGAAAAAAUGUACAUCCGAAUAAAUUUAGGUUUUCUGAGUGAAGUUGGGUUGGGUUGGGCUGGGUUGUUGACAUGGGCCACCCCUAAUAUCGGGACCAAUUCUUUUUUUUUUUUUGAGGGUCAAACAUUGAUAAUGAGAUCCACGUAUUUUUGUCCAAUAUUAUUCAACAAAAAGUAACAAAUAUGUGAUUUAAAUUUUCUAGCUAAUGGAGUGAAUAUGUUUUAUAAUUGUGAAUCACUGGACAUACAUGUGUCUUGCACUAGCUAGUUUUAUAGUUGUUUGAUAAUUCGACAUGUGUAUUGCACUAAUAGUAUAUAUUUACUAGUAUCACUAUCAAGUUGAUAAACUAAAGAUAAAGUGAUAGCGACAUACGAACCAAUCAUACAGAUUAGCCACCAGUGUUUAAAGUUUAUUGUUAUUACAGUAACAAAGCGCCAGAAAAUAAAAAAAAUAUGAAAAGCAACUCUGAGAGCCACAUAAAAGUCACAAAAACACAAUAAUGUAAGACUAUAAACAUGUUUAUAGGUCUUUUUUUCAUUUAGAAUACGUAUGGGGCUUGUAGAAAUUAACAAUGAUCACCAUAAGAACUACUAGUAGGAAAGAAACUGAGCCUCACGUAACCAAAAGACCUCCAUUAAAUUUAAACCGAUGGAAGAAGAAGAAGAUUUGGUGGUGGUGAUAUCAAGGAGCAUCGUGAUCCCCAGAAACGCCAAGAAAUCGACUUCCUCCAAGAAGAAGAUCCAUCUGCUUCCUUGGGAUCUCUCUCGCCUCCGCUUCGGUUAUCUUCAAAGAGGUCUCCUUUUCUCCAAACCUUAUCCAAAAAUCGACACAGUUCUCUCAAAGUUACAAACUUCACUCUCUCUAGCACUUGACCGUUUCUACCCUUUAGCUGGUCGUCUCGUAAAGGUACAGAACGACGACGACACUGUCUCCUUUUACAUCAACCCCGAUGGCUCAGGCGUGGAGUUCGUUCACGCCUCAGCUACAAACAUCGAGGUCAGUGAUGUCCUUAGAUUAUCUACUUCUCUCAGCUCCUUCUUCCCCGCUACUGGGGUCAAGAACUGUAACGGCGUCUCGAGAUCUCUCCUCAUGGUUCAAGUGACUGAGAUGAAAGAUGGGAUCUUUAUCGGUUUCGGUUACAACUCCACUGUAGCUGACGGAGAUUCGAUCUGGAAGUUUUUAAACGCGUGGUCUGAGAUCUGCUCCAAGGGUUUGGUUCCCGAACCUUGUCAGCGUCGUCUUCAGCUUAAAGGUUGGUUCUUUGAGGAGAUUGAGUACCCGAUUCGGAUCCCAGACCCGGAGGCAAAACCAGCUAGGGUCACAACAGCUUCGAGUGGUUUACAGGAGUUGAUGUUUCAUGUCACAAAGGAGAAUGCUUUGAAACUUGAAGCUAAAGCCAACGAUGAGAAAGUGUCGUCAUUACAAGCGGUGUUAGGACAUUUAUGGUGUUCGAUGGUUAAGCACAGUGGGAUGAGCAGAGAGGAAGAGACUCAUUGCAGGUUACCUAUAGACAUGAGGAGAAGGGUGGAUCCACCGUUGGAAGAAGACUGUUUUGGGAACGUGAGUCAGACCGGGAUAGCGAAAGUCACGGUUGGUGAGCUGAUGGAUAAUGGAUUAGGGUGGGCGGCUGGGAAGAUAAACGAUAUGGAGCGGUCGCAAACGCAUGAAAACGCGGAAGGGAAUGCGGAGAAAUGGGUGAGAGAUGUGAAGAUUCCGGUUUCGGUUGGUAGUAAAGAUUUGGUUGUGACGAGUUCUCACCGGUUUGAUGUGUAUGGAAAUGAUUUCGGUUGGGGUAAACCGGUAGCUGCGAGAGCUGGACCGCCGUAUGUGAGUGGGAGAAUGGUUGUGUUCCAAGGGGUUGAAGAAGGGAGUCUUGAUUUUCAGGCUUGCUUGCUGCCUCAAGUAGUGGAAAAGCUAUCAGAAGAUGUUGAUUUUAAAGAGUUUGUGAGCAUUGUAUUAUGAUGGUUUGAUGACUUGGUUCAACAAUUUGGAUCGAAUUUAAAAUGUGUGUGUGUGUGUGUGUGUGUUUCUUCCUUUUCUGAUUGUUUGUAAUUCAUCAACCUGGUCACAUGAAAUUCUCAGAUGGCCAUAAACAUUUUUAAAAUAAAUUUGAAUAAUUUUUCUUUAGUUUGGAAGUAGCAGCAGCUUAUGUAUACUAGAUCUUUAAAAUUUAUGAAAAACAAAUGUUUCACAGCAGCAUGUCCAUGGAUGAAAACUGAUAAUGGGCCUGCAAUUUAUGACCCAAUACGCAAUCAAACCGGCCCAAUGUAUUAGAACACGUGGUGAAUAUGUGUUUAGGUGAGAACGGGAUUUGGAUAUACACACUGUCACUCACUAGUCACUACUGUAAUCAUACUGCUCCAUCGAAUUACCUCCAGAAGCGAAGACGACAAACAAGACAUGGCAGAUGUUGUUGUGCUCUCUAAAAGCAUAGUUCGACCCGAUGGAUCGGAUUCGGAUCGGGUAAAGAUCCAUCUAACUCCAUGGGAUCUCUUCUUCCUUCGAUCAGACUACCCGCAAAGAGGUCUCCUCUUUCCAAAACCCGACCCGGAAACCGAUAUAAUCUCACAACUCAAAUCCUCUCUUUCGGUUGCGUUGAGUAUCUUCUACCCAUUCGCCGGCAGACUAGUCAAGACCGAGAACGAAAACGACGAAACGGCGUCGUUCCUCGUAGACUGCGAUGGUUCAGGCGUCAAGUUCAUCCACGCUUCAGCUAAAACCGUCUCGCUGAGUGACGUUCUAGAACCGGUCAACGGCAUCGUCCCCGAGUUCUUGAACCGUUUCUUCCCGGCUAACGGAGUCAAGAGCUGCGAAGGGGUCUCUGAGUCGUUGAUCGCGUUCCAAGUAACGGAGUUAAGAGACGGAGUCUUCAUCGCGUUCGGCUAUAACCACAUGGUCGCAGACGGAUCUUCCUUCUGGAGCUUCUUCAACACUUGGUCGGAGAUUUGCUCCACCGGAGUUGACCGGGAUAAAAAGUUCCCGCCUCUGCUUCUCCGCGGCUGGUUUCUCGACGGGAUCGAUCACCCGAUUCGAAUCCCGAUCUCGGAGACGGUGAUACCGUCUCCUCCGGUUGCUUCUUCGUCAUCGUUGCUACGAGAGAAGGUCUUUCGAUUCACGAGAAGAAACAUCUCCGAGCUCAAAUCGAAAGCAAACGGAGAAGUUAGCUUCGAUGAUCGGAGAAUCUCGUCGCUUCAGGCGGUUUCAGCGCAUAUGUGGCGAUCGAUUAUCAAAAACAGUGAUUUGAAUCCGGAGGAAGUGGUUUACUGCAAGUUACUGAUGGAUAUGAGACGGAGACUAAACCCUCCGCUUGAUAAAGAGUGUUUCGGAAACGUCGUCGGAUUCGCGACAGCGACGACAACGGCUGGAGAAAUGGUUAGUAAUGGGCUGGGUUGGGCCGCGUUGCAGAUAUUAUUACAAGAGAGAUAUGUGGAACCUUAACGACUCACCUGAUCACCACGAAGAAUCCGACGGUAGAUGGAAACGGGCUGGAGAUGUACCAAUCUCUAUGAGAUCAUCGACCACGUGUCUGUUGUCUGUUCCUCCGGUGACCCGAAAUUUUUUUCCGAAUCAAAUCAUGGAACAGGAAGUUCCAGGAAUAUCUGGGUCCGGUAUCACUAGAAACCAAUGUCUUGUUCGGUCGGAUCCUAGCGGGUCUGGUCGUCCGGAAAACCUAGAGCUGGAGAUAACACCGCCGGUAAAAAAGAGCCGACGUGGUCCUCGUUCCCGGAGCUCUCAGUAUAGAGGAGUUACUUUUUACCGACGAACCGGAAGAUGGGAGUCACAUAUUUGGUAACUUAAUUUUCUUAACCCUACGAUAUACCGAAUACUAUUAUUGCAUAUAUGGUACAUCCAUCAAAUCCAAGUUUCAUUUCAUUCGGGCCAAUACCUUAUUGUUAUUUUUAAAAUAUGUGUUGGAAUAUUAUGCAGGGACUGCGGGAAGCAAGUGUACUUAGGUAUGAUCAUGUAAUGUUGUUCAAACACAGAUCAAAUAUCCUAUUGAAACUAAGUUGUGUUGUGUCUGUCCAUUUUUAUAUGAUUUCUUCGACCAAAUAAAGGUUUUAUUAUCUCCUUAUAUUACUUUUUGUUACAUAUUCAGGUGGAUUUGACACAGCACAUGCCGCUGCUCGGUAUGUUUUACUCAUCCAAAUAUGAUCAAUUAGAACGAAUCUAAUAUUCCUUAUUUUGUAAUUUGCUGAUAUACAAAUUAAUUUGGGUGGGUAACUGUUUGGGACAGUGCCUACGAUAGAGCCGCAGUUAAGUUUAGAGGUGUAGAUGCAGAUAUAAAUUUCAAUAUUGAAGACUAUGUGGAGGAUUUGAAACAGGUAAAAUAUUUAUUAUUUGUAGGUUCAAGCAAUUGACUUAGAUUAUUACUCGAACAUAAAACAAAUUAAUAUUUGUUGCAGAUGAGCAGUUUGACAAAGGAAGAGUUCAUGCAUGUCAUUAGAAGGCAAAGCACUGGGUUUCCAAGAGGCAGCUCUAAAUAUAGAGGUGUCACUUUGCAUAAAUGUGGAAGAUGGGAAGCUCGAUUGGGUCAAUUUCUCAACAAAAAGUAAAACUACACAAAUAAUAUGGGGUCAUUUUUUUUUUUGAAAUGUUUUGUUUUUCUUAUGGAUAUUUAAAAUUUGGUACUGUAUUGUUUGCUUUUUAUUUAUUUUCAGGUACGUUUAUUUGGGUCUCUUUGAUACCGAGAUGGAAGCUGCAAGGUACUGUUUUAUUAUUGUUCAAUGUCUCAUCAUCACGUUUCCAAAACAAUAGUAUUUAUGUUUGGGCAAAAGAAAAGCAAUAGUAUCUGUUUUGUUUAAUUUCUUCUUCGUGCUUUUUGAAUUAUAGAGCAUACGAUAAAGCAGCAAUAAAGUCUAAUGGAAAAGAUGCAGUUACCAAUUUUGACCCUAAAGUAUAUGAGGAACAGCAUAAUAGCCCAGGUAACUUGAUUUUACGUUUCCGCCUAUAAAAACUACAUAUACAUUUUUUUUACUCCAGUCACCAAAUUUUACUCACGGUAACCACAUUUUAUCACGGUAACAAUCAUCAGAGAAGCAGUGGGAUGAUCAUAACCUUGAUCUAAGUCUAGUUGAAUCAAACUCGGAAGAGUUUGGAACCAAAUCUGAGGUAAGUUAAGUUGUUCAUGUUUUUAUAAAUUUAAUGUGUGAAAAAAAGAUAAAUAGUGAUUAUGGUCUAAACUGAUACAUUUUAAAGACUGCGAGC